ensembl:lncRNA
AGUGAAAGGUGAAAGAGGCAGUGAAAGGUGAAAGAGGCAGUGAAAGGUGAAAGAGGCAGUGAAAGGUGAAAGAGACAGUAAAAGGUGAAAGAGACAGUGAAAGGUGAAAGAGGCAGUGAAAGGUGAAAGAGGCAGUGAAAGGUGAAAGAGACAGUAAAAGUUGAACGAGACAGUGAAAGGUGAAAGAGGCAGUGAAAGGUGAAAGAGACAGUAAAAUGUGAAAGAGGCAGUGAAAGGUGAAAGAGGCAGUGAAAGGUGAAAGAGACAAUGAAAGGUGAAAGACACGGUGAAAGGUGUCAGUGUGUUUAUUUGCUCUGCUGGUUGCUCUGCUGUGGGGCAGGCCAAUACUCUGGGCUGUUUGGAGCUCAUCUCUGUAAAUAAGACGGAGAGAGAGAGACAGAGUGGGACAGGACAGGAGACAGCCUGCAUGUGCUCCUCAUCUGCAGCCCAGUGACAUCAGCUUUGAUGUGAGUCCUACUGGAUCUGUCCCUCUCCCCGCCGGCACCACCAGAUCUGGCCCCAAUCCGCCACUUCACCUCGCCUGCUUUCAUCCACAUUCCCAGGGAAAUCCGUCCAUCUGCACUCGUUCACCUCCCCCUCUUCUAGGCCCGACAUCCCCCAUUUCUCUGAGUUCCAGUGCACCCUGAUACCCUGCAGUGAAGCCCCUAAUACCUGCCCCACCCCCUAAUAUCACAGACUCUUAUGUCUGUCCCAAAAGGCACCCUAUUUCUUAUUUAGUGCCGUAUGUGCUUUGGUCAAAAGAAGAGUGCCAUUUGGGAUGCCCCCCUAUUCUCAUAUGCCUCUUAUUUUAUUGUCUCCUUUCAAUCGUCUGGUC